AUGGCAAGUGACUUGUUGUUUUGGAAGAUAAAAAUAUGGCGGGUGUUUUCCCCUUCUGAAAAUAACUGACACAUUUGCAUCCUAAUGGCUAUUUAAAUAUAAAAUGACCAAAAAUAGUAUCUAUGAUGAUGGGAGUCCCUAAAUAUUUGCAUAACUACCCAUCACUCCGUGUCAAAUUGCAACUGAGGCUGCGAAAGGGAAGCACAUAAAUCGACGCCAUUUUUCAACAGAUCCACAUGAAUAAUACAUGUAACAAUAGAAAUAAGGAAUAAAGAAGAGCAGGAAACAUUUCCAUUUUGAGGAUUUAUGGAACAGAGGACUAUUUGACUUGUUUUUACUUUAACUUGGACUUUUUAACAAUAAUAAUGCUUCUUAAAUUUUAAAGUUUAUUGUUAUGUGUUUGUUUUUUUUUUACUUUCAAAAAAUCAAAGUAUUUAAGUUGUAUUAAAUUUUGUUUAUUUGAUUGAAGCUUAUUUACUUAUAAUUAUUUAAGAUAUUAUUUACAUAUGUUUCAUUUUAACAUUAUUUUUAUGCAUUUGUAUUUAUUUAUCUUUUAAAAAACUUUUUUUUUCUUAA